rnacentral:lncRNA from 1 species
UUUUUAUUUUUAUUACUGGUUUGUAAUACAUUAAUACACUAAUCAUAAUAAUGAUCUGUUUAUUAAACCCUCGCCUUGUUCCAGGCACUGUGCUAAGCAUUUUUAAUUGGUCCGAUGUAUUGUAAAUAUUUUAUCUGAGUUUGGUAUGUGUCUUUAAUACUUAUUUAAACAUUAUUUCCUCUUAAAAACCUUUAGAAAGCUGUACAAAUUAUGUGAUAAAAUAAACUAAUCUUUUAUGUGUUUUUGUUUGCUCGCUUAACACACAGGAAAAUCUAUCCACUCUAAAAUCAGCUUAGCAUUCAUCUAUUUAACAUUUAGAGCAAAUCUAGUUGAUUUUCUAUAUGCAAAUAAAUAUCCAUAUACUAUGUAUUUUUUACAGAAAUGGCAUUAUAUUAUGCAUAUGUUUUGUUGCUUGCUUUUUCCCCCUUAGCCGUGUAGAGUGAAUAACAUCUUUUUAUGUCAAUAACCCCUCACCCUCAUCAUUAUCCAUUGUAUGGAAGAGAACUCUUUAAUGAGAUCAAUUUCCCCUCCAGAAGCAGGAAACCUGGGCAGAAGCAUUCCAUGAGAAACCUCACCUGCCUGUUUGAUGUUCAUCCGUUCAGAAUUUCCGAAGGCAGUUUAAUCCCAUUGUUUCUCAACUACUUUCCGUUUCUUUGAGGGCCUAACAGCCCGCAAGAAAAGGGGAAUGCAGUGGUCAAUCAUUAACCUGCUCCAACGAGAGAGACAACUCAGAAAGAAAACAAAAACAUUUUUUUUUUUUUUGGCAAGACCUGGUUCAAAAUCUUAGUUUUUUUCCGCAAAUUGUUUUCAGUCCUCUUUCCCAUACCCCGUUGUCUUUGUCUCCCUAGCCUACACGCACACCUCCCUUCAGAUAAUUUUUAACUUACGCUCUUUAUUUCUUAACAAAAAUAAUGACAUGACUUGCUCUCCCAGAGCUCUGACCUUAGGUUUGUUCUAGCUGCAACACUAGUAUAGACCAUUCUAUUAAUUAUGAAUGUAUUCAUGUGUAUAGAGGCAAUGGUAGACCAGUGGUAAUGUUACCUUAUUCUGGAGACUUACACUUAUAAAUAAAUAAUGAGAUGCUUCUGUGAAAUGCCUUUAGCAAAGGCAGGGGAAAGCAUUACUUCUCGAAAGACUGUACAUUUGAAAGAUUGAAAGCUGAUACCAAAGGCUCUUCAAUAAGAUAUAAACCACGUCUGUGGAAAAAAAGAAAAUAACAUGAAAGAAGUGAACUGGAAAUUCUAUAAUGCUAAAUUGGGGACCAAAAUUUUCUAGAUGGCAAGUGUAAAAUCUAAGUGAACAGAUCAGAGAACCUAAAAUAGAUUCUUGGAGAUGUAGGAAAACUGAUCUCUGAUCCUCCAAAUAUCUUUCUAUGUUAUACAUUUAAAAUAAAUCACUACACUUAAAAAUCUGAGAUGUUAUUUAUAAUAAAAUGCUACAUUCCCAUCAUAUCCUGUUAAAGAUGGUAUUAAAAAGUUGUGUUAAGUAAUUCCAAUGAGAGAUUGGUAUGUAUGAUUGAUUGGUUAUUAUUAAACAGCAUUUUUUUCUAUCUUAACUAACUUAUAUUGGGCUUGUGUAUUAAGCUAGAUAUUCAAGUCUAGAUACUAAUUAAAACAGCUUCAUGAAGUAUAGUGGCCACUGGCUUCCUGGGAACGUUUUUUCUGCGCUGAAUAUUCUAGUCAGUUUCUAGCAAAUAGAAAAUGCUUUGUGGUUGCCACUAGAGGGCAAAUAGCCUCCUGGACUUCUCUUUGACCAAAGAGUAUCUUGGUCCAAGCAGCCAGAGUUUUAAGGUCUCAUAUAAACUAGUCUUAAAUCUUGCAUUGCCAAUUGUUAGUCAACUCACCGACUCAGCAAACUCAGAACAUUUUAAUUUGUUUUGACUCAAAAUGUAAAUAGGUUCUUUUAUCAGUCUAUUUACAUGGCCCAAACUGGGAUGAUAGAUCUCUUCGCUGAGUGCACUAACUUCUGACCUUCUUAUCCUACCUAUUUCCGAUCUAGAUAUUAAACCCCACUGCUCAGCCAGCAAGGUGACCUAACUUCACAGCAUUCAACAGCAUUCUUAGACCUUAGAGUGACAUCAAAGGCAUUUCCCAGUCUGAUUCGUUUCUGCUUAACUUUCCAAUCUCUCCUCCUGCCAUUCCCUCAUAGUCCCUUUACUCUGCACUACUUCAGAGCUGCUGGCACUUUCUCAAAUAUAUGAUGUUAUUUCAUGCCCUCCUGUCUUUACUCAGGCUGUUACUUCUACCUGGGAUGCUGGCACUGCCCACCACACACUGUUGAAGACUCAGUUCAGGUAUUACCUAUAAGAAAGCCUUGUACUCUUUGCUGAUCCCCUCUUUCUUUCCAGAGCAAUAGAUUUACUUUUCCCUCCUCUAUGCUCCUCUAGCAUCUUUUACACACCUCAAUAAUAAUACUAACUCUCCUCUUGUGAUUAUGUCUAGCAGACUAUGAAUAUUCAAUCUAUUUUGAAAUGUCAACUCAGUUGUUUCAUCUUUUCUUUGCUGCAUUAGGAAUUGUUAGGAGUUCUAGAAGAGGGAUGGAAUGCAAACAACAACUCCCUUCCUCUCCAGGAAGAAAAGACCUGAAGCCCACGAUUGUGGUUUUUGAAGACUGAGCUCUCUGCCCUUGAGUAAGGAGGUCCAAGAUUUCUCCUUGAUAAAAAUGUGGACUGAAAUGCUAGUUAAAAGAAGCAAUUAGGGCUUUUGGUAUAGAGAAAUAUUUGGAAGCUGAAGAGACUGAGGUGGAUUGGAAAAGAUUUGGAGAUGCCAAACAUCACAACUCAGAGACAGGAAAGUGGUCUGAAAAUAUAGCAGCUGCCUGGAGGUGCCAGGUGAGUGGGCUUGGAGAAGAGCCACAAUGAGGGCCACUGUUGGAGUCAUACUGAAGAAACUCUUCACAGCCCUCCCCAGAGGACUAUGCAGUUAAGCGGCAAUUCUGCCUCAUGUAGACAAAUAAUCAUGGAAGGUGAUUCGCAGCCUGUGAUCCAGUUCUUUUUUAUCCAAGCAAAAAUAAGUGAUUCCUGAAAAUUAUCAAAAUAAUCAAACACAAGGAGAGUCUGAGAAACUGUCACAGCCAAGAGGAAUCUUAAGGUGACAUGAUGGCUAAAGGCAAUGUGGUACUCUAAAUGGGAUCUUGGAAAAGAAAAAGAACAUUGGGGGAAAACUACAGAAAUCUGAAUAAAGUAGAGACUUUAGUUAAUAAUGUAUCAGUAUUGGUUUGUUAAUUAUAAUUAUAUAUACCAUACUAAGGUAAGAUGUUAAUAAUAUGAGAAACUGGGUGUGGAGUAUAUCCAAUG